UCUCCCUGACCCUUUAAGGGUCCUGAAGGAACGUUGAAGACGACGACGUUGAUAGGCCGGGUGUGUAAGCGCAGCGAUGCGUUGAGCUAACCGGUACUAAUGAACCGUGAGGCUUAACCUUACAACGCCGAAGCUGUU
rnacentral:rRNA from 1 species